rnacentral:rRNA from 1 species
CCCUUAGAUGUUCUGGGCCGCACGCGCGCUACACUGACGAAGUCAGCGAGCAUGUCCUACGCCGACAGGUGCGGGGAAUCUUGUCAAACUUCGUCGUGAUGGGGAUUGAUUAUUGAAAUUCUUGAUCAUCAACGAGGAAUUCCUAGUAAGCGCAAGUCAGCAGCUUGCGUUGAUUACGUCCCUGCCCUUUGUACACACCGCCCGUCGCUACUACCGAUUGAAUGGUUUAGUGAGAUCUUCGGAUUGGCGCCACUGCUGCUCAGCAAUGGGCUCGGUGGAUGCCGAAAAGUUGAUCAAACUUGAUCAUUUAGAGGAAGUAAAAGUCGUAACA